AGGACGAACGCUGGCGGCGUGCUUAACACAUGCAAGUCGAGCGGUAAGGCCUUUCGGGGUACACGAGCGGCGAACGGGUGAGUAACACGUGGGUGAUCUGCCCUGCACUCUGGGAUAAGCCUGGGAAACUGGGUCUAAUACCGGAUAUGACCUGCUCUCGCAGUGGGGGUGGGUGGAAAGAUUUAUCGG
rnacentral:rRNA from 1 species